CGUAGCCGGCGAGGCAACCGGUCCCUGGCAGUCGAGACCGGUCCCCGAGCGCGUCUGCGCGGGGAGAGACCGGUCCCGCGCAGGGAGAGACCGAUUCCCGAACGUUGGAUUUUCGGGGGCAGGCUGAGAGACCGGUCUCAGGUCGGGAGACCGGUCCCUCUGGGAGAAAACUACCCAGACCGGGCUGAUGUAAAUUUGAGUUUUUGAGGGACCUAAGUGGAUUUUGUUGCUUCUAAUGGCCUAUUUGGCCAUUUCACCCUCUUCUCUCCUCAUUUCUUCCCUUCCUACCUAUUCUAGAGAGAGAAGAAGAGAGGGAGAAGAAGAAGAAGAAGAAGAAGAAGAGGAGAAGAAGCUUGCUUGGAGGCUUUGGAGCAUCAUCUUCUUCCCCAUUUUCUCACCUUGGUGUCUUCGAGCUUGCGGUUGGAGCUUUGUGGAGGAUCAAACUUCAACCCUACUUGGUUUUGAGCUUGGAUUGAAGCUCCUCUUGAGGUUGGUAGCAUGUAAUCCCUACUUGAUCAUGUUUUUCUAGGUUUUACUAGAUGAAACCCUAGAUUGGGAUUCUAGGGUUAGAUUUGGGGCUUUUUGAUUUGGGGGCUUUGAAACCUUUUUGAUGGGUUUGGAACCUUUAUAUAGGUUAGUUUGGAAGACCCCUACCUUCCAUUUGAAGAUUGAGAGAGGGUUUUUCACUUGAGGUGAGUUUUUCCCAACCCUAGCUUGAGUUGGUUAAUAAUUGAACUUAGCGUCAUUCGUUUCGACUUGAUGACACUUGUUUUCAUACCUUUAGGGUACUAGGAGUGUGGUGGACGCCUUCGUCGUGGCAAACGAAAGCUUUCGUUGACGACGGUGGGUUUGGCUUCGUGGAAAAGGGGCGAAAUGGCCCCUAUGCUCUUUCUACUUGUUGUAAAAUAUUUUUAAAUUCAUUUCUAUGCUAAAUGNN
rnacentral:lncRNA from 1 species